rnacentral:lncRNA from 1 species
ACAUAGAGAGCGCUUUCCUGGCUGUCCCCUGCCCCCCCCCCCACCUGCUGUGAUAGGACCUCCAGGCUUGCUCGCUCGCUCUUUUUUUUUUAUUAAAGCUUUUAUUUAUUUAUUCAUGAGAGGCACAGAGACACAGGCAGAGGGAGAAGCAGGCUCCCUGCGGGGAGCCUGAUACGGGACUCGAUCCCAGGACCCCUGGGUCAUGACCUGAGCCAAAGGCAGAGGCGUAACCGCUGAGCAACCCCCCCAACCAGGCGUCCCCUUCCAGGCUCUCUUAAAAGACCCCAGAGCUGACUCGCGUUGCUCCUGAACAUGGUGACCUCAGUGACAACCUCUCCGUGCCAGGCCCCAGUUCCAGCUCUCUGAGCCAUGCCCGCUGCUGAGCAAGACCCUGCCACCACCGCUGCCUCCAUCACCCACCGCGGACAUGCUGUGCCAAUCCAUGCUGCCCGGGCCCGACACCCCACGCACCAGGGCGCUCUGGGCAGCAACGCUGAGCCAUCCGUCCUGACCGGGGGAGGCUGUGCGUGUUCACAGGAAGACGUUCCUCCCCCGGCGCCCCAGCCCCCGGGGCCCCCCAGAUUCCCCUCUACUCAGCCGGAAGAGCGACUCCAGAAAGCUCCCUGCCAGCGCCUUAGACUGCGAAGCGCGGGUGUCUCUGAGCUGGAAGGAGGGACCGCGCGGAGCGCCCGCAGGAUCGGGAGCCCGUCCCUCCGCUCUCCUUUGCUGGGUCGGAAGAGCCCGAGCGCCCGGGGAGCAGCUGCUGCCGCCCGCUCGUCCCGCUGCGGGGGCUGCCGGGCCAGGCGUCCCUCUCCACAGCAGCCCUCUUAGCAGACGGCAUCUCACUUGAUCUCGAAACCGCCUGUGAGCGAUUAUCCUUAUUUCCUUUUAGAGAUGAGAACACUCGGGCCCCCGGGCCUGUCCGCGCUGUCCUGGCUGUCCUCGCGGCCUCCUGCCUGGGUUCAUACACGUCUCACUCCUUCUCCGAGCGGACCUUCACCUGCGGUUUGUUUCAAGGGUCGGAUCCUGCACAUUUACCAUAAACGGAAAUCACAGAACUGUGGAGCCACUGCCGUGGAUGGCCAGUGGACGCGGCGCGGCUGUCCUCGGCUCAAGGCCUCUGUGGGGCGUAAUCAGGGAGUCAGUCAAGGUUCCUGUCUCAUCUGAGGCUCAGCUCCUCCUCCAAGAUCACUGGGUGGUUGGGAGAAUUGAGGCCCUUGCAGCCGUGGACUGUGGCCCUCAGCUCCUGGAGGCCGCUCGUCUCCGCAGACACUUUACAGCAGGGGCCAGCACGAGAGCGCCUGGCUCGCCUGAUUAAGCCAGGCCCACCCAGGAUAACCUCCCUUCUGAUGACCUGAGACCAACUGAUCAGCCAACUUGAGUUACAUCUGAGCAAUCCCGAACCUUGGCUGAUGGUUAGGUGCCAUCAGACAGCCAAGGUUCGGGAUCCGCAUCCCCUCACCUUUGCUGUAGCCUGGCGGCCAGAAGCAAGUGCUUCUAAUCUCCCGGCUUCCACCCACACUCAAGGAAGGCGAUUAUACAAGGGUGUGGAUGCCAGGAGCUGGAAUCACCAGGGGCCAUCUGAUGACUCUGCUCACUGCAACCAAGUAUAAGAGUCUGCAAAGAUAAAAAAAAAAAAAAAAGAGUCUGCAAAGAUGGGGCAUCUAGGGGGCUCAGCGGUUGAGCGUCUGUCUUCAGCUCAGGUCGUGACCCCAGGGUCCCGGGAUCGAGUCCUGCAUCGGACUCCCCACAGGGAGUCUGCUUCUCCCUCUGCCUGUGUCUCUGCCUCUCUCUCUGGGUCUCUCAUGAAUGAAUCUUUAAAAAAAAUAAGUUUGAAAAGACAAAUAAUAUGAAAGAGAACAAAAAGACAAAACUCAAUAAAUCUAUACUUCUGCCAUUGAAGGGAACCAUUGGUAACAUUUUGUUAUAUUUCCUUCCAGUCUUUUUCGAGCCUAUUUCUUUUUAUGCUACUAAAAUCACGCUGUAUGUACAAUUUAAAUGUGGUGGUGGUUUUUUUUUUCUUCUUUACCACUAUCAGGUCAUGAGAAGGUCAUUGCAAACGUCAUUAAUGACUGGAUAAGCGCCUACCAGGGUUAUAUAUGAUUUAUGUAACCAAUUCCCUACCACUGGACAAGUGUGUUGGUAAUGUUUUGCCUAAUAUGAUCAACACUGAGACAAACCUCUCGGAGCAUAAUUUCCUUCCGUAUGUCACAUUAUUUCUUUAGAAUAGAUUUGACAAAGGAAAUUAUUAGCCUAAAGGGUAUAGCAAUUUGUAAGACGCUUGAUACAACUAACUCACUGCUUUUCCCAAAUGCGCCAACUGCCACGCACCCAGCAGGGGAGGCGCAUGCCCGUUCGCUGCAUAGGUCAUGGUUUAGGACCUCUUCGUUUUGGUCCAGUUGAGGUGGUUGAGACUCCCUGAGCAGGGCCACAGGCUAUCCGGUUCCAUGUC